GAUGAACGCUGGCGGCGUGCCUAAUACAUGCAAGUCGAGCGAACAGACGAGGAGCUUGCUCCUCUGACGUUAGCGGCGGACGGGUGAGUAACACGUGGAUAACCUACCUAUAAGACUGGGAUAACUUCGGGAAACCGGAGCUAAUACCGGAUGAUAUAUUGAACCGCAUGGUUCAAUAGUGAAAGACGGUUUUGCUGUCACUUAUAGAUGGAUCCGCGCCGCAUUAGCUAGUUGGUAAGGUAACGGCUUACCAAGGCAACGAUGCGUAGCCGACCUGAGAGGGUGAUCGGCCACACUGGAACUGAGACACGGUCCAGACUCCUACGGGAGGCAGCAGUAGGGAAUCUUCCGCAAUGGGCGAAAGCCUGACGGAGCAACGCCGCGUGAGUGAUGAAGGUCUUCGGAUCGUAAAACUUUGUUAUUAGGGAAGAACAAAUGUGUAAGUAACUAUGCACGUCUUGACGGUACCUAAUCAGAAAGCCACGGCUAACUACGUG
rnacentral:rRNA from 1 species